AACGAACGCUGGCGGCGCGCUUAACACAUGCAAGUCGAGCGAACCCGCAAGGGUUAGCGGCGGACGGGUGCGUAACACGUGGAUAAUCUGCCCUCGAGACGGGGAUAACCAGCCGAAAGGUUGGCUAAUACCCGGUAAGCUCACGGUCCCGCAGGGGACAGGGAGAAAAGUGGCAACACGCUUGAGGAUGAGUCCGCGGCCCAUCAGGUAGUUGGCGGGGUAAAGGCCCACCAAGCCUACGACGGGUAGCUGGUCUGAGAGGACGACCAGCCACACUGGAACUGAGACACGGUCCAGACUCCUACGGGAGGCAGCAGUGGGGAAUCUUGCGCAAUGGGCGAAAGCCUGACGCAGCGACGCCGCGUGUGCGAUGAAGGUCUUCGGAUCGUAAAGCACUGUCGCCCGGGAAAAAGAAAGUGAUGGUACCGGGAGAGGAAGCACCGGCUAACUCUGUGCCAGCCGCCGCGGUAAAAC
rnacentral:rRNA from 1 species